rnacentral:rRNA from 1 species
GGCUACACAUGCAAUCGAACGGUAACAGGAAGCAGCUUGCUCUUCGCUGACGAGUGGCGGACGGGUGAGUAAUGUCUGGGAAACUGCCUGAUGGAGGGGGAUAACUACUGGAAACGGUAGCUAAUACCGCAUAACGUCGCAAGACCAAAGAGGGGGACCUUCGGGCCUCUUGCCAUCGGAUGUGCCCAGAUGGGAUUAGCUAGUAGGUGGGGUAACGGCUCACCUAGGCGACGAUCCCUAGCUGGUCUGAGAGGAUGACCAGCCACACUGGAACUGAGACACGGUCCAGACUCCUACGGGAGGCAGCAGUGGGGAAUAUUGCACAAUGGGCGCAAGCCUGAUGCAGCCAUGCCGCGUGUAUGAAGAAGGCCUUCGGGUUGUAAAGUACUUUCAGCGGGGAGGAAGGGAGUAAAGUUAAUACCUUUGCUCAUUGACGUUACCCGCAGAAGAAGCACCGGCUAACUCCGUGCCAGCAGCCGCGGUAAUACGGAGGGUGCAAGCGUUAAUCGGAAUUACUGGGCGUAAAGCGCACGCAGGCGGUUUGUUAAGUCAGAUGUGAAAUCCCCGGGCUCAACCUGGGAACUGCAUCUGAUACUGGCAAGCUUGAGUCUCGUAGAGGGGGGUAGAAUUCCAGGUGUAGCGGUGAAAUGCGUAGAGAUCUGGGGAAUACCGGUGGCGAAGGCGGCCCCCUGGACGAAGACUGACGCUCAUGUGCGAAAGCGUGCGGAGCAAACAUGAUUAUAUACCCUGGUAAUCCACGCCAUAUACGAUGUCGACUUGGAGGUUGUGCCCUUGAUGCGUGGCUUCCGAGCUAAGGCUUUAAGUCGACCGCCUGGGGAAUACGGCCGAGGGUUAGAACUCAGAUGAAUUAGGGGGCCCUCAGAAGCUUGGAGCAGUUUAAUUCAAUGCACUGCUUACCUGUCUGGCGAGUUAGAA